rnacentral:lncRNA from 1 species
UUCCUUGAUUCAGCUGCUUGGACUACAGCAUCCUAAUGCAAUCACACUGAGGUUUUCUCUGUCAGUACUAUCUUUCAAAACUAUCUUUUUGUCAGCAAACUGAAUGGUGUAAGCACAGAACAGAGUUCCAGCCAGCAAUCUGUCAUCAGUAGCAUCCUGCUCUUAAGCUGGGCUGAUGGUCCUGCGUUUCCCCCAGGAACGUGAAAUUCUGAUACACGAGUGCAGGUCGCUAUCAAGAGAACUAAGGAAGGAUGUAGAUGUGGUAUUGAUGUCUUUCUUCAGGCUGUGUCUGAGGUAAGGAAAAUACUCUUUCCCUAUCUCUGCAGUUAGAAUAUGAAGCAGAAGCAGCAUUUCUUUCAUGUGUAGUUGCUUAAUUUAUCCUGUUGUUCUUUAUUUUCCUUGUUGAUAUAAUAGGAAUAUUUGUCACUGAAUGGUUUAUUGUCUUUGCUUACAACUCUGUAUUAUUUCAUCAAUACCAACUAUAUGUAUGUCUGUUUGUUUUUUUUUUUUAUUAGCUGGUGUACCCUAGAUUAAUGAUGUAUCAUUGUACCAAAUUGCUUUGGUUUUCUCCUCUAAUAUUACCCCAUUAAGUCUGUAAAUGAGUGGGUUUCUUUUCCUGGGCAGGCAAUUGUUACACAAACUUUACUAAACUGAGUUAGAAAUGAUUUCCACCGUGAAUCACUUUCCUUGUAAGCUGAUGACUUUUAUGGUAAUGUUUAACUUAAGCAGAUUUGUUUUCAAAUGUGCAAUGCACUAUUCUUUUUUUAACAGUACUUAAUAAAAAAAUUAGAUAAACAACAUGAUAGGAAUCAAUACUUAUUUCCUUGUCUACUAAAUGCUGCCUGUUAUGGGAGGUUAAUCACUCUACAAUGUUAAAUUGCUAUUAUAAUCAGUUCAGCUGAAAGGUGUCACUGCAACACUGGCC